GGAUCCCUGCGGCUCGGGAUGGAGGGGCCAAACCUGUGGCAUAUGGAAGUUGCCAAGCUAUAGGUUGAAUUGGAGCUGCAGCUGCUGGCAUACACUACAGCCACAGCAAUGCCAGAUCGGAGCCUCGUCUGUGACCUACACUGCAGCUCAUGGCAACCCCAGAUCCUUAACCCACUGAGCUGGGCCAGGAAUUGAACCCACAUCCUCAUGGAUACUAGUCAGAUUCAUUACCGAUGAACGACAAAGGGAACUGCAGUAAGAUUCUUUCUGUGGGUAUAGUGCCCAGAAGCUCAAACUAAUAACAAAAAUAGAAUAUAGAUAUAAAAUGUGCUUAAUAGAUCCUAGUUAAAGAAUCUAUCAGGCCGCAUACCUAGCCACAGAGCUGAUUUUAAUGGAAAUGUUAAUGAAAUUGGUAAUCACCAGAAUGAUUCAACUGUGUGUUACUAAAGUUCUUCGCAGAAGACAGGUCACCCCUUCUGUUCAUAUUUCAGCUUCACUGAGCUGUACAGGAAAGACUGAGAUGGAAAACUUAAGAAUCUGCAGUGCUAUCCACUUCCGAAGCCUUACUUAGCCUGCUGGUUAAUAAAAUUAUUUGUUAUAGAAGAGAAAGUAGGGAAUUCUCUUGUGGCACAGUGGGUUAAGGAUCUGGCAUUGUCAUUGCAGCAGCUUGGGUUGCUCGUGUGCCAUGGGUUCAAUCCCUGGCCAGGAACUUCCGAAUACCAUGGGCAUGCCCCCCCCACUCCAUAGAUCUAGUAUAGUAAAGUUGAAAAUUUUUGUCUGCCACUUCCUUUGCCUGCAGUGAAUGAACCCAUUUC
rnacentral:lncRNA from 1 species